rnacentral:rRNA from 1 species
UACGGGGGGGGCAAGCGUUGUUCGGAAGUUCUGGGCGUAAAGGGCUCGUAGGCGGCCAACUAAGUCGGAUGUGAAAUCCCCAGGCUUAACCUGGGAACUGCAUCCGAUACUGGAUGGCUUGAAUCCGGGAGAGGGAUGCAGAAUUCCAGGUGUAGCGGUGAAAUGCGUAGAUAUCUGGAGGAAUACCGGUGGCGAAGGCGGCAUCCUGGACCAUAACUGGACGCUGAGGCGCGAAAGCUAGGGGAGCAAACGGGG